UACCUGAAAUCAAGCAAGAACACCCGCUGAACUUAAGCAUAUCAGUAAGCGGAGGAAAAGAAACUAACUAGGAUUGCCCCAGUAGCGGCGAGUGAACAGGCAAAAGCUCAAGUUGAAAAUCCUUGGCACAAAGUUAAGGAAUUGUAAUCUAGAGAGGAUAUUCGGAGGGGAUGGUCGUAGCAUAAGUUCCUUGGAACAGGACGUCAAAGAGGGUGAAAACCCCGUAGUCGGCUACUACCGGAUCUAACGAAUGUUUUCGAAGAGUCGGGUUGUUUGGGAUUGCAGCCCUAAAUGGGAGAUAAACUUCUUCUAAAGCUAAAUAUUUAUGGGAAACCGAUAGCGAACAAGUACUGCGAAGGAAAGGUGAAAAGAACUUUGAAAAGAGGGUUAAAAGACUUGAAAUCGUUGAGAAGGAAGUGGUUAAAGAGUAAUCAUUUGUAUACGAUAAAUGUUUCGCUUCCCUGGCUUUGGCACGCUUUAGUACUUCAUAGGCUGUGUGUGUCAAACGUUAGGUAGCUAGGCUGUCUUCGUGUGCAAGAGGCAACAUGAAGUUUGGAAUCGGGAAUAAAUUAGUAGAACGACCCAGCAAUGGAGUCUAUUAAUGAAACCGGCACUGAGCUUGAGGGGCC
rnacentral:rRNA from 1 species